rnacentral:rRNA from 1 species
CCUACGGGUGGCUGCAGUGGGGAAUAUUGCACAAUGGGGGAAACCCUGAUGCAGCGACGCCGCGUGAGUGAAGAAGUAUUUCGGUAUGUAAAGCUCUAUCAGCAGGGAAGAAAAAAGACGGUACCUGACUAAGAAGCCCCGGCUAACUACGUGCCAGCAGCCGCGGUAAUACGUAGGGGGCAAGCGUUAUCCGGAAUUACUGGGUGUAAAGGGUGCGUAGGUGGCAUGGUAAGUCAGAAGUGAAAGCCCGGGGCUUAACCCCGGGACUGCUUUUGAAACUGUCAUGCUGGAGUGCAGGAGAGGUAAGCGGAAUUCCUAGUGUAGCGGUGAAAUGCGUAGAUAUCUGGAGGAACAUCAGUGGCGAAGGCGACUAUCUGGCACAUAACUGACGCUGAGGAGCGAAAGCGUGGGUAGCAAACAGGAUUAGAUACCCGUGUAGUC